rnacentral:lncRNA from 1 species
GCAGCGACAUUCAUACCCAAGACUAGGCUAUUAUAAGUAAAUUUCAGAAUCACAAUUUUUGUUAAAAGAAAACUUUAAAAAAUGCUUGUGUAUAAUCUGCAGAAAAUUGUAUCCCACUCCAAACGGUGGGGAAUUCACUUUAGUGUUGGGUACAAUUGGGUGUACAUUUUUUAAAAAGAAAAGGUAUUUUCUUGAGCUUCGGAUUGUGAUGAUGGAUUUGAAAAUGUGAGCACAGCAGAUAUUUCAGAAGCUAGGUGCGGGAUGUUACCAAGAUUUUAAUGGCUGGAAUGUUAGCACUUUGUCCCUCCCCAUAAUCUGCAGCAUUAAAUAAAACAAGAAAAGUAUAUGCAGAAAUGGCUUAAUUGGUUUUCUUUAUAUACAAGGCGGGGGUUAACUCUGUCCAGCAUAUAGAUAAGAGUCAUGCAACCCAAAUAAGGAGUAAUAUUUGGGUUAGGCAUAGUUCCAAGCCAGCCAAGAACCUAAAAAACUUGAGGCCAUAAACAUACUAACCUUUUUUUUUAUCAUAUCAGAAGCGACUUGAGAACAUACUGCAAGUCGCUUCUGGUGUGAGAGAAUCGACUCUCUACAGAGACGUUGCCCAGGGGAUGCCCGGAUGUGUUGGGAGGCUCCUUUCAUGUCCGUGCAAGCUAGAGCUGACAAACAGGAGCUCAUCCCGUCAUAUGGAUUCAAACCGGCAACCUUCAUAGAAUCAUAGAGUUGGAAGAGACCCUGUGGGCCAUCCAGCCCAACCCCCUGCCGAGAAGCAGGAAAAUCACAUUCAAAGCACCCCCAAUAGGUGGCCACCCAGCCUCUCCUUAAAAGCCUCCAAAGAAGGAGCCUUCACCACACUCCAGGGCAGAGAACAGCUCUCACUGUCAGGAAGUUCUUCCUAAUGUUCAGGUGGAAUCUCCUUUCUGUAGUUUGAAGCCAUUGUUCUGUGUCCUAAUCUCCAGGGCAGCAGAAAACAAGCUUGCUUUCUCCUCCCUAAAGAUUGGGUCAGCAACCCAACCUUCAAGUCACCAGUCCUGCCAGCACAAGGGUUUAAUCCACUGCGCCACCAGGGACUCCACAGAUUAUGUGCUUUAAAACGGAUUAUAUC